UACGUAGGGUGCAAGCGUUGUCCGGAAUUAUUGGGCGUAAAGAGCUCGUAGGCGGUCUGUCGCGUCUGCUGUGAAAACUCAGGGCUUAACCCUGAGCUUGCAGUGGGUACGGGCAGACUAGAGUGCGGUAGGGGAGACUGGAAUUCCUGGUGUAGCGGUGAAAUGCGCAGAUAUCAGGAGGAACACCGGUGGCGAAGGCGGGUCUCUGGGCCGUAACUGACGCUGAGGAGCGAAAGCGUGGGGAGCGAUCCGG
rnacentral:rRNA from 1 species